rnacentral:rRNA from 1 species
UACGUAGGUCCCGAGCGUUGUCCGGAUUUAUUGGGCGUAAAGCGAGCGCAGGUGGUUUAUUAAGUCUGGUGUAAAAGGCAGUGGCUCAACCAUUGUAUGCAUUGGAAACUGGUAGACUUGAGUGCAGGAGAGGUAAGCGGAAUUCCUAGCGUAGCGGUGAAAUGCGUAGAUAUUAGGAGGAACACCAGUGGCGAAGGCGGCUUACUGGACUGUAACUGACGUUGAGGCUCGAAAGCGUGGGGAGCAAACAGG